GCUCCCUUACGAUAGUUUCCUUGAUCCCAACAGACUAACAGCCCAAAACCCAAAAUCCCCAAACCCUAUACUGAAAAGUGAAAAUCAAAAUCAAUUCUUCAAUAUGUUUUAGAGGUGGAAUGGGAAUUCAAAUACACACUGUAUAGAGUGUAAUUUAGAAAACUUAAAAACGAAAAAAAAGUGAGAAUUCCGUGAACUGUAAAUCCUAGAGAGAGAUAGGAAAUAUCGGAGCAGAAAAGGAGAAAACUCCUAAAAUGGCGUCGUCGAAGGUGAUGGCGUCGUCGAAACCGAAAAAUUCGGAUCUGACAUCAUCAUCAGCAGCUACUCGAUCUCGACGCGCUUCUGCUUCUUCUUCUUCUGCUGGUCUUGCUUCUGCUUCUACGAAACCACAAUCUAAUCGAAUAAAAAGCUUCUAUCGUAAUCUUACGUCGUCGUCAUCGUUGGCGUCUACAAUGACUGUCGACGGAAUUUUACGUGAUGUCUAUUCUACUCCAUCCGCUGAGUCUACUCUCCUUGAUGCCCAAAUUACACUUAUAGAUACACCUACGCCCGUUCUCCCAACAUCACCGCCUCCUACGCUGCAGACGGCGACAAUAAUUGAAACGACAAAUCAUGCUAGUAAUAGCAGUAAUCAAGAAAUGAAUAGUGUUGUUCUUCCUCAGAGUAAUAAAACCGUGGAUGAUGUAUGGAGGGAAAUUGUGGCAGGGAGGAAGGAGAUGAAGGAGGAGCCUGAUGAGAUGAUGACGUUGGAGGACUUUCUGGCUAAAGCUGGGGCGGCGGAUGUCGAACAAGAUGAUGAGGUCAAGAUGCCAAGUGGAGGAGUUUAUGCGUUUGAUCCUGUUCCACCUAGCGCGUUCCAGAUGUUGGAUAAAGUUGAGGGGUCAAUUGUGGGGUUUGGGAAUGGAGUGGAGGUGGUUGCUGGUAGCGAAGGGACUGUCUUAGGCAGAGGGAAAAGAGGGAGGGCAGCGGUAAUGGAACCAUUAGAUAAGGCCGCACAGCAAAGACAAAGGAGGAUGAUCAAGAAUAGAGAGUCAGCUGCCAGGUCUAGAGAGAGGAAACAGGCUUAUCAAGUGGAAUUGGAGUCUAUGGCAGUAAGGCUAGAGGCGGAGAAUGAGCGGUUGCUCAAAGAGAAGGAAGAGAGGACUAGAGAAAGGUUCAAGCAGAUUUGAGCAUUUGUGCAAGCAAGAUCAUAUGAUAUUGAUGGGAAGGAGAUAAGGAAAAAUAGGCUUAUGGAGAAAGUGGUGCCUGUUGUGGAAAAGAGAAGACCACCUCGUAAACUCCGUAGAGUUCACUCCUUGCAGUGGUAGAUUAUAUGUGCUCAAGGGGUAGUAUGGAAAGGAAAAGCAGCAUUGAUGUUAAAAAGUUAAUUUUCUUUUGGAUUAGGUAUUUGAACCCGAUUGUUGUCUGGAGCAAUCACGGUUUCUGAUAUAAAUUAUGUGAAAAAAAAUGGGGACAAAGACAAAAAAAAAAAAAAAAAAAAAAGAUAUAAA